rnacentral:rRNA from 1 species
UAGGGAAUCUUCCACAAUGGACGCAAGUCUGAUGGAGCAACGCCGCGUGAGUGAAGAAGGUUUUCGGACCGUAAAGCUCUGUUGUUGGUGAAGAAGGAUAGAGGUAGUAACUGGCCUUUAUUUGACGGUAAUCAACCAGAAAGUCACGGCUAACUACGUGCCAGCAGCCGCGGUAAUACGUAGGUGGCAAGCGUUGUCCGGAUUUAUUGGGCGUAAAGCGAGCGCAGGCGGAAGAAUAAGUCUGAUGUGAAAGCCCUCGGCUUAACCGAGGAAUUGCAUCGGAAACUGUUUUCUUGAGUGCAGAAGAGGAGAGUAGAACUCCAUGUGUAGCGGUGGAAUGCGUAGAUAUAUGGAAGAAUACCAGUGGCGAAGGCGGCUCUCUGGUCUGCAACUGACGCUGAGGCUCGAAAGCAUGGGUAGCGAACAGGAUUAGAUACCCUGGUAGUCCAUGCCGUAAACGAUGAGUGCUAA